ACGAUGAAGCCGGAGCUUGCUCCGGUGGAUUAGUGGCGAACGGGUGAGUAACACGUGAGUAAUCUGCCCCUGACUCUGGGAUAAGCGCUGGAAACGGCGUCUAAUACCGGAUACGAGCUGCGAAGGCAUCUUCAGCAGCUGGAAAGAAUUUCGGUCAGGGAUGAACUCGCGUCCUAUCAGCUAGUUGGUGAGGUAAAGGCUCACCAAGGCGACGACGGGUAGCCGGCCUGAGAGGGUGACCGGCCACACUGGGACUGAGACACGGCCCAGACUCCUACGGGAGGCAGCAGUGGGGAAUAUUGCACAAUGGGCGCAAGCCUGAUGCAGCAACGCCGCGUGAGGGAUGACGGCCUUCGGGUUGUAAACCUCUUUUAGCAGGGAAGAAGCGAAAGUGACGGUACCUGCAGAAAAAGCACCGGCUAACUACGUGCCAGCAGCCGCGGUAAUACGUAGGGUGCAAGCGUUGUCCGGAAUUAUUGGGCGUAAAGAGCUCGUAGGCGGUUUGUCGCGUCUGCUGUGAAAAUC
rnacentral:rRNA from 1 species